CUGAAUGGGGAAACCCACUUGCAUAAGCAAGUAUCCUGUUGUGAAUACAUAGCAACAGGAGGCAAACCGGGGGAACUGAAACAUCUAAGUACCCCGAGGAAGAGAAAUCAACCGAGAUUCCGAAAGUAGCGGCGAGCGAAAUUGGAUUAGCCCUUAAGCUUUUAAUGAGACAGAUGAAGGCUCUGGAAAGUGCCGCAAUAAAGGGUGAUAGCCCCGUA
rnacentral:rRNA from 1 species